rnacentral:tRNA from 2 species
GGGCGUGUAGCUCAGCUGGUUAGAGCGUUUCGUUGACAUCGAAAAGGUCCCCCGUUCGAGUCGGGGCACGCCCA